AUGCGUAGAUAUCUGGAGGAACACCAGUGGCGAAGGACGGCUUUCUGGGCUAGUUCUGACGAUAUGACUCGAAAGCAUGGGGAGCGAACGGGUUUCGAAACCCCGUAAUUCCAGGCCGAAAUCGAUGCUAACGAGAUGUUGCGGGUACAAGACCCUCUGUGCCGGAGCAAACGCGAUAAGCAUAGCCACAUGGGGACUACGGUCGCAAGGCUAGAACUCAAAGGAAUUGACGGGGGCCCGCACAAGCAGCGGAGCGUGUGGUUUAAUUCGAGGCUACACGAAGAACCUUACCUGGGCUUGACAUGCACGGUGGUAGGGAACCGAAAGGGGACCGACCUUCGGGAGCGUGCCACAGAUUGAUCCAUGCCUUUCUUCAGCUUCUUGUCUAAAGAUGUUCGGUUAAGUCCCGGUAACGAGCGCACCCCUCAUCCUUAGUUUCCAAGGUCUAAGGGAGACUCCCCUUUCAACGCGGGAGGAAGGCGGGGAGAAGGCCAGUCAGCCAGGCCCUUUAAUCCAGGGGUACACACACCGUCCCAUGGCAGGUUCCAUAGGGUCGGCAACCCGGAGGGGGGACCCAUUCCACCAAAGCCUGUCACAUUGAGAAUCACUGGGUGCAUCCAGCCCGCAUGAAGUGAGAGUUGAUUAUAACCGCAUGUCAUAUAUUGUGGGGAGUAUAUUUCCCCGCGCUUUGCACACCCCCCCCGUCACGUCAGGGGAGGGGGUCACGCGAGACGUCGGUGAGCCAACCACAAGGAGGCACCCGCCUAAGGCAGGGCUGGUGACUGGGACGAAGUCGUAACAAGGUAACCAAGGGCGAA
rnacentral:rRNA from 1 species